UUGGAGGGCAAGUCUGGUGCCAGCAGCCGCGGUAAUUCCAGCUCCAAUAGCGUAUAUUAAAGUUGUUGCAGUUAAAAAGCUCGUAGUUGAAUUUCGGGAUCAAUUUAUCGGUCGUGCCUCUGGUAUGCACUGGUAUUAUUGAUUUCUACCUUCUGACGAACCAUGAUGUCAUUAAUUUGGUGUCAUGGGGAAUCAGGACUGUUACUUUGAAAAAAUUAGAGUGUUUAAAGCAAGCACACGCUUGAAUACAUUGGCAUGGAAUAAUGAAAUAGGACGUUUGACCCUAUUUUGUUGGUUUCUAGGAUCGACGUAAUGAUUAAUAGGGAUAGUUGGGGGCAUUAGUAUUCAAUUGUCAGAGGUGAAAUUCUUGGAUUUAUUGAAGACUAACUACUGCGAAAGCAUUUGCCAAGGAUGUUUUCAUUAAUCAAGAACGAAAGUUAGGGGAUCGAAGACGAUCAGAUACCGUCGUAGUCUUAACCAUAAACUAUGCCGACUAGGGAUCGGAUGAUGUUAAUUUUUUAAUGACUCAUUCGGCGCCUUACGGGAAAC
rnacentral:rRNA from 1 species